AUCUAGCCAUGGGCAGGUUGAAGGUUGGGUAACACUAACUGGAGGACCGAACCGACUAAUGUUGAAAAAUUAGCGGAUGACUUGUGGCUGGGGGUGAAAGGCCAAUCAAACCGGGAGAUAGCUGGUUCUCCCCGAAAGCUAUUUAGGUAGCGCCUCGUGAAUUCAUCUCCGGGGGUAGAGCACUGUUUCGGCAAGGGGGUCAUCCCGACUUACCAACCCGAUGCAAACUGCGAAUACCGGAGAAUGUUAUCACGGGAGACACACGGCGGGUGCUAACGUCCGUCGUGAAGAGGGAAACAACCCAGACCGCCAGCUAAGGU
rnacentral:rRNA from 1 species